ensembl:misc_RNA Metazoa_SRP Metazoan signal recognition particle RNA
GCCAGGCAUGGUGGUGCAUGCCUGUAGUCCCAGCUUCCUGGGAGGCUGAGGUGGGAGGAUUGCUUGAGCCCAGGAAGUCAAGGCUGCAGCAAGCCAUGAUCGCACCACAUACUGUGUAGCCUGGGCAACAGAGCAACACCCUGUCUCAA